GAUGAACGCUGGCGGCGUGCCUAAUACAUGCAAGUCGAGCGAACGGACGAGAAGCUUGCUUCUCUGAUGUUAGCGGCGGACGGGUGAGUAACACGUGGAUAACCUACCUAUAAGACUGGGAUAACUUCGGGAAACCGGAGCUAAUACCGGAUAAUAUUUUGAACCGCAUGGUUCAAAAGUAAAAGACGGUCUUGCUGUCACUUAUAGAUGGAUCCGCGCUGCAUUAGCUAGUUGGUAAGGUAACGGCUUACCAAGGCAACGAUGCAUAGCCGACCUGAGAGGGUGAUCGGCCACACUGGAACUGAGACACGGUCCAGACUCCUACGGGAGGCAGCAGUAGGGAAUCUUCCGCAAUGGGCGAACGCCUGACGGAGCAACGCCGCGUGAGUGAUGAAGGUCUUCGGAUCGUAAAACUCUGUUAUUAGGGAAGAACAUAUGUGUAAGUAACUGUGCACAUCCUGACGGUACCUAAUCAGAAAGCCACGGCUAACUACGUG
rnacentral:rRNA from 1 species